GAAGCUCUAGCAAAAAUACAGUCUCUCAUCAUCACCAUUCCUCCAAACACACACACACACACACACACACACACACACACACACACUCUAAACUUCAGCUUUCCUUUGUUCUGUUCUAUCAGGACCUUACUGGUGACUGCUUAGCUAAACCACACAUCUCCAACGUUUUCUGCUCUAUUCCAUCCCCGCUCAUCUGUGAAAAUGGCAGCAAACACUUCCUUAUGAGAAUGUGGUGAAAAUGGAUUAUGUGGUUGGUGCAUUUGGAAUUCCGCAAAGGAAAUGGGCUGCAAAUCCAGAUCUCAUCACAGGGAGACCAGAGAGACAGCAGUUCAGCAGAGUCAGCUGAGAUGACUGUUUAUCACAUGCUGAGAGGACUGUCAGUUUGGCCAGAGCCACCAACAGACCAUUCACCUUUAAACCUGAGAAGUCAUCAACCCUGCUGGAAAUGAUCAUUUCAGGAAAGCAUGAAAGGCUCCUCUGGGGUCUGAGAUGAGACCUGAAAUGGAAAUACUAGAAAAGACAAGAAGAUGACCCCACCUAAACCUGACAAGAGUUGUCCGACUUCCAGGCUGUCAGAAGAGCUCUUAAGGGUUAUCAACUUUGGGGUGCUAUACAAACAUAAGCAUUUUUCGCUCCCAGUUUCAUUGUUUGUCACUCUGAAAAGGUAUGUCCAUCUCAACAAGGUUUGGGACACUUGACAGAAUGUGGAAACCCAUUAUCAGCUGAGGCCCCCGUGCCCUUUGAUAUCCAGGUAUGAUGGGUUGGGAACUCUAUUCCACACUCCAUGGUCAGUCAAGGAUUUCCUUUUACAUUUCUAUGAAUUCUAAAGAGUUAGGGGAUAAUUAUUUUGGAUUUGAGGGCUUCUUCACCUAAUUAUUCAGUUAUGUGCAUCCAUAUAUGUGACCGUGUUGACCUAGAUGUACAACCGAGCCAUUCCUUAAUCCAUAACAAUCUGCUCUCACAGGCAAAUUUGUGAGCAGCAGACACAUCAAAAGUCUUGAGGAGGCCAAAGUGGGGUUUCACUGGAGCAGGUAACUGUGUCCAACUAAUUAUUAGGUAGCCUCCUUCUAAUCAUUUUGCCCUCCUUCACGGACCCUUGUCUUCCACCACCACCCACCCCCCAAGGCAUUUUUUCAGGACUUCUUUAUUCCAUAUACUGCCUACAGCCUCACAUUAUCUUAUAAGCCUCUGUGCCUUUCCACACUCAGGAAACCUACCCAUUUUUCUCUCCCUCUAUUAAUCAGAGCAGUUCCAUUCUCUUUGACCCUUAUCGCCCAACUCAGCUCUGGUUCUCACCUUGGCAAAUCCAAAUCACACCCAAUAUUCAAUGGGGGAAGAAAAA
ensembl:lncRNA